rnacentral:rRNA from 1 species
AUUGAACGCUGGCGGCAGGCCUAACACAUACAAGUCGAGCGGAUGAAGGGAGCUUGCUCCUGGAUUCAGCGGCGGACGGGUGAGUAAUGCCUAGGAAUCUGCCUGGUAGUGGGGGAUAACGUCCGGAAACGGGCGCUAAUACCGCAUACGUCCUGAGGGAGCCAGUGGGGGAUCUUCGGACCUCACGCUAUCAGAUGAGCAUAGGUCGCACUCGCUAGUUGGUGGGGUAAAGGCCUUACAAGGCGACGAUCCGUAACUGGUCUGAGAGGAUGAUCAGUCACACGGGAACUGAGACACGGUCCCGACUCCGACGGGAGGAAGCAGUCGGGAAUAUUGGACGAUGGGCGAAUGCGUGAUCCAGCCAUGCGGCGUGUGUGAAGAAGGUCUUCUGAUGGUAAAGCAAUGUAAGUUGGGAGGAAGGGCAGUAAGUUAAUACCUGGCUGUAUUGACGGUACCAACAGAAUAAGCACCGGCUAACUUCGUG